CCUACGGGAGGCAGCAGUGAGGAAUAUUGGUCAAUGGGCGGAAGUCUGAACCAGCCAUGCAGCGUGCAGGAAGACGGCUCUAUGAGUUGUAAACUGCUUUUAUAAAAGAGUAAACCUGAAUACGUGUGUUCAGCUGAAAGUACUGUACGAAUAAGGAUCGGCUAACUCCGUGCCAGCAGCCGCGGUAAUACGGAGGAUCCAAGCGUUAUCCGGAUUUAUUGGGUUUAAAGGGUGCGUAGGAGGAUUGAUAAGUUAGAGGUGAAAUGUCCGAGCUUAACUCGGGAACUGCCUUUAAUACUGGCGACCUAGAGAGUAGAUGCGGUAGGCGGAAUGUAUGGUGUAGCGGUGAAAUGCUUAGAGAUCAUACAGAACACCGAUUGCGAAGGCAGCUUACUAAUCUAUAACUGACGUUGAGGCACGAAAGCGUGGGGAGCAAACAGGAUUAGAUACCCCUGUAGUC
rnacentral:rRNA from 1 species